rnacentral:lncRNA from 1 species
CUUGUGGUAAGGACAGGACAGACAAAUUUAGAGUUCUACCCAGUAAGACAGCACAUGUAAAUAAAUAGUCUAUCCUCUCUGUUUGAAAGAUAAUUCCAAAAACAAACACACUAUCCAAGAUACACAUGCACAUUUACAGAAUACAUAUUUCUGUCAUGUCUAUACAUAACUGAAGUUUAUUUAAAUGACUGAAACAGACUAAAAUAAAUGUCUAUUUCUAAUUAAAAGUUAUUUUCUAUGCUAGAAAAAUAUCCUAGGAUACUAACUAUAUUUAAUCAACAUUUAUUCCUUAAUGUCUAUUUCAUACUCUGAGUUAACAUUUUUUCUAUUAUUUGAAACUGUUCCUCAAGCCCUGUUUCCUCACACAUAAAAAUUUUCAUAACUCAGGCCCUUGCUCUGUCCUGUAGUAAUUCAUCCUAUAGUUUUCUGCUACUAAUGGGAUACUUUGUUACUCUUCCCCUCCUCUCUAUUCUCCACAUAGGAGUCCAAUUUGAAUAGAAGUUUCUAGGUGCACUCAACAUUUGACAAAGCUUAGAAACCAUGGAAAGUGCACUUAAUAUUAGCCUGUCAAAGCCCCAGCUUGUUCAUGACUAAUAGGCCCUUAGAUGAGUAAAUAAACCUCACUGAGCAUUCAUUUUCUCUAGCUAUGAAAGCUGUGUAACAGUACCUCCAGCCUAAGGUUGUUAGAAUUCCAUGAGAGGAAGUAUAUAAAAGUAUUGUACUUUGAAAAUGGUAAUGUACUACCAUUAGUAUAGAUGUAGGGCACUAUUGUUCCUCUGCAAGUCAGGAAGACUAACUCCAAUUAGGGAUGAGAAUUCAAAGGUCUGAAUUGUAGCCAGUGGGACAAACAGGUGUGAGACACCUCUCACAUUAUACUACACAUGGGGCCACCAGGCAUUGCAUCAGGCCUAAUAAAUCCUGUCCUACAAUGCAGAUUGUAGAAGAACAUGUUUAUGGGAAUUUAAAAAAGUGGCUUUUUAGCUCUCUAUCCUAUUUGUAUUGAAAAUAACCUCAACUAAAUAUAUCUUGCAGAGAAGUUAUUCACAUGAGUUUCAGAUACCACCUGCAUGCAUGAAAAAUGCAUAGGUCUGUGUGGGCGUAUGUAUGUCGAUGUAUUAGGACUGGAAUUUUGGUGCUGC